UGCCACGUAAUUUUAAAAAUAAUUAUAAAAUGACACGUAUGAUUAUAAAAUGACACAUGUAUAUAUGGUCACUCCAUGUCAUUUUUCCUUUUAUUAUAUUUGAUUAAUAUACCUAUACUUUCUCUUUCCAAUUUUUAUUUCUCUUUGCCAUUGCCAUCUGCAUCUCCAUCCCCACAAUCUCAUUUCAACUUUUUCUUAUCUUCCUUACCCUUUUCCUUUUUCCAACCUCUUCUACUCUUUCCAUUGAAGUAAAAAAUGUUGGCACGAUUUCUGGUUGUUCGCAAUCUCGUUGGAGUUCGGAGUUUGUUGUUGUUGUUGUUGGUUCUCAUUUAUAGUUGUUGGUUGAAGCUUGUCGGAAAUGGUGAGAACGAAGGUAGUUUGGUCGGAGAAGGUGAGGAGGACGAGAAGAAGGCAAUAAGUUUGGGUUUGGUUUGGAACUGAAACAAGGGGUCAAUGUCAAAAAUUAUUUGAGUUUUUUUGUUUGAUUUUCAACUUAUCUAGGUAGGUUUUCCAAUUUAUUUUCGAAUUUAUUUGUUAUUUAGUUUGGAUUUGAUCUCUAUUUGUGUCUUUGUUUGGUUUUGGGGUUUUAAUCAAUUACAUUGACUUUGUUGAAAUUCUUUGGGGAUUUUGCAUUUUUGUGCCUAAUGUUAGUGUAAGAUAUUUCGAUAGUAGUGUUAAGCCUUCCAUGGUGUUUUUCAUAGAAAAAGAGAGCUGUAUAAUAACAAGAAACGAUAGAGAAGAAAUUUUUGGGAAAAAGAUCGAAAAAGAGGCCGAGAAAACCUCAAAUUUUGUCCAACAAUGGUGUUAGAUGCAAAUAGGAAGAUGAUGGCUUUACAAAGCCCUAAUGUGACUGUCAGACCCUUUUCCAAGGGGUCUCACGCUCCUAAUAGGUGUGUGUCACACGCUCUUUAGUAGUAACUGCCACAUAGGAUGCCAAGUCAAAAAAUGUGUUUAAAAUAUUGCGUUUGAUGAGUUUAGGGUUCAGAUGACAAAUGAGUAAGUAGAAGGGUUCACAAUACAAACACAUACAAGUACAAGGGUCCACCAGACCAUUUCGCCAUAUUUAAGGCUAUUUUCCUUUAGUGCUUUGGCCGUUUCUAAUUUGUCAUUAAUUCUCUUAAUUGCCUUUUCCUCCCUUUCUCUUCUAUUUCCAAAGGUUAUGUCAUUAAUGAGCAUUGAAAAAUAUAUAAACAUCCUGUUUAGGUUUGUUUGUUUGAGUAAACAUUUUGUAGACAUUACUGUUUUCAUUUUCUUUCCUUUCAAUUUUUUCCUUUUAACAUAUACUGAUUCAUAUUUAAUUUAUUUACUACUUUUGUUUCUUUGGUUCAUUUAAGGUUUUUUUCAUUAUCUCUUCAUCUCACUUCUAUCAAUUUAAUUUUGUGUGUUUUUUCUACAGAAAACGUAAUUGCUAUUGGAGUGAUAGAGAAUAUGAUCAAGGAC
rnacentral:lncRNA from 1 species